UAAACGGCCGCGGUAUAAAACCGUGCAAAGGUAGCACAAUCACUUGUCCUCUAAAUAAGGACCUGUAUGAAAGGCAUCAUGAGAGGGGACCUGUCUCCUAGGGCUAGCCAACGAAAUUGAACAGCCAGUACAAAAGCUGACAUGAGCCAGCAAGACAAAAAGACCCCGUGGAACUUUUAACAGACCAUUAAUUAAGCUUAAUAAAAGUUUUGGUUGGGACAACCUUAGAAAAACAAAACUUCUAAACCUAAUAAGACCCACAAGUCUAAUACUACACCUUGAUCCAGUCACACUGAUUAAUGAAACAAGCUACCCCGGGGAUAACAGCGCCACCUUCUAGAAGAGCCCAUAUCAACAAGAAGACCUACGACCUCGAUGUU
rnacentral:rRNA from 1 species